ACCCUUAGAUGUCUGAUGCCUUCAACGAGUUCUACCUUGGCCGAGAGGCCUGGGCAAUCUUUUAAACCUGCAUCGUGAUAGGGAUAGAUUAUUGCAAUUAUUAAUCUUGAACGAGGAAUUCCUAGUAAACGCAAGUCAUCAGCUUGCAUUGAUUACGUCCCUGCCCUUUGUACACACCGUCCGUCGCACCUACCGAUUGAAUGACUCGGUGAAAAAUUGGGACUGUGAUUGAAAUUGCUUCAUUGCGAAUUUAAUUAUGGAAACUUUCUUUAACCUAGGCAUUUAGAGGAAGGUGAAGUCGUAACA
rnacentral:rRNA from 1 species